rnacentral:rRNA from 1 species
GACUUCUGGUUUAAUGCACCUGGCCCGCGGCCCACAAGGCCUGUGAGUGUAACAGGGCGGCUGGAACUGGAUCUUUUACUUUGAAAAAAUUCGCGUGCAUGGAAUAAUAAUCUAGGACUUCGGUUCUAUUUUGUUGGUUUCUAUAACUGAAGUAAUGAUUGAGAGGGAUGCUAGUAUUGGCCGGUCAGAGGUGAAAUUCUUGGAUUCGGUCAAGACUAACUUAUGCGAAAGCAUUCACCAAGGAUGUCUUCU